GACGAACGCUGGCGGCGUGCCUAAUACAUGCAAGUUGAGCGCUGAAGGUUGGUACUUGUACCUACUGGAUGAGCAGCGAACGGGUGAGUAACGCGUGGGGAAUCUGCCUUUGAGCGGGGGACAACAUUUGGAAACGAAUGCUAAUACCGCAUAAAAACUUUAAACACAAGUUUUAAGUUUGAAAGAUGCAAUUGCAUCACUAUAAGAUGAUCCCGCGUUGUAUUAGCUAGUUGGUGAGGUAAAGGCUCACCAAGGCGAUGAUACAUAGCCGACCUGAGAGGGUGAGCGGCCACAUUGGGACUGAGACACGGCCCAAACUCCUACGGGAGGCAGCAGUAGGGAAUCUUACGCAAUGGACGAAAGUCUGACCGAGCAACGCCGCGGGAGUGAAGAAGGUUUUCGGAUCGUAAAACUCUGUUGGUAGAGAAGAACGUUGGUGGGAGUGAAAAGCUCAUCAAGUGACGGUAACUACCCAGAAAGGGACGGCUAACUACGUG
rnacentral:rRNA from 1 species